rnacentral:rRNA from 1 species
GACGAACGCUGGCGGCGUGCUUAACACAUGCAAGUCGAACGGAAAGGCCCUGCUUUUGCGGGGCGCUCGAGUGGCGAACGCGUGAGUAACACGUGAGUAACCUGCCCUUGACUUUGGGAUAACUUCAGGAAACUGGGGCUAAUACCGGAUAGGAGCUCCUGCUGCAUGGUGGGGGUUGGAAAGUUUCGGUGGUUGGGGAGGGGUUCGAUGCUUAUCGGCUUGUUGGUGGGGUAGUGGCUUACCCAGGCUUUGACGGGUAGCCGGCCUGAGAGGGUGACAGGCCACAUUGGGACUGAGAUGCGGCCCAGACUCGUACGGGAGGGAGCAGUGGGGAAUAUUGCACAAUGGGCGGAGGCCUGAUGAAGCAACGCCGCGUGCGGGAUGACGGCCUUCGGGUUGUAAACCACUUUCGCCUGUGACGAAGCGUGAGUGACGGUAAUGGGUAAAGAAGCACCGGCUAACUACGUG